rnacentral:lncRNA from 9 species
AGGGGUUGGGGCGGUCUUUUAUUCCAGAGGGAUCUGGAAUCCCCAUCUCAUUUCUGGGACUGGAUUUUUUUUUUUUUGAAACACGAUUAUGCAAAUGGCUGCUCUGGGGCCUCCUUUCCCUCCUGGCCGGUGUGGAAUGUUCCAGGCUGUGAGGAAUGCAUGGACACACAGUAGUGGAAACGCAAAGCCCCCUCUGUUCCGGCACCUUGAGGAAGAAGUCAGGCGUGUCUGAAGAGUGGCAGUGAAUUAAAAGCCAGGAGUGAACACAUCCCGCUAAGGGGCUUCUUCACGGGGUUGACACUGUGCCUGUCACAGUAAGCCAGGCACCUCUUUUGCAUCAGAGGCACUUCUCCAGCCAGAAAUGGGGGGGGUCUCCCCUUCAUCCUGGACCCAGGCUCUGAGCCAUUGUCCAUGCGUUUAGCAGCAAGACACCAAAUCUAGACCCAAACCUCUUUCGGGACACCUCAGAAAACCAUACCUCCCGUGUUCUGCCCUCCUUCCCUUGUCUCCACGGGGCCACCCAGCCAGACAUCUGUCUGGAAGUUGUGUGUGGACAGCCCCACCUCCCUGGCGACCACUGCUGAGAGGCGGGCUCCCCCUGUGCCGGCUGGUCCUGUGGCUGAGGAGAUGUCAUGUGGAUGUCCCCGCACGGCCCACUCCUCCUGGACCCACGGGUCACUCUGGUGGCUUCUUGGUAGGACAGAAAAGAGACGUGACAAGUGGUAUUGGGGCCAAGUCGGAAAGGCAGCACGCUGACUGCUCAGAGCUGUUGUUGCACAAUAAUGCUCUGGGCUCAUUCAUUAGGCAGAAGCUCGUGGGGAUGGGCUCUGGGCAGCGCUGGCCUGAAACACGGAAGCCAUCUGCGGACUAAAAGUUUAAGCCUGGAAUGCCAGCUCCCAUUUACGUUCCCCCUCGAGGUCAGGGAGCCACAGGAAAGCGCAAAGGCUGAGGGAGGAGAGGCCCCCCGGAUGGGUCCCGCAUGCCCUUUCUGCCCUGACCUGGAAAAUUCACCUGGAAAACCCACGAGGCUCCCAGGGCAGAUGGCCUCACGUGACCCAGAUGUCAAGCCAUCGCGAUUCCUAGAGGGAGCUUGGCAGGUGAGGUUGGGGGGUGGGGUGGGGGGUGGGGCAGGUGGCAAGAGAAAGGGAAAGAGAGGCCACCUGAAGAGGUGGCCACUGGUGGCUGCGAAAGGUCAGCAAAGAAAUGGGGACCAAGCGUCCUGUCUGUACAGAUGAGUUUCCCAAGGCAUCUGGCUUUGCUUUGCAAACACCGGCUGGCUUCCCUGUCAUUUCCGUCCUCUUGCCUUUGGCCUUGGCUCUGAC